GACUGCUCGCCGUCGCGGAGAGUGGUGUCGAAGAUACGGACAUAGGAAGGGUCGGGGAUGUGGUUGGGAAUGUACUGAGGGCGGCGGCGGCGAGGAGGGGCGGCAGGAGAUGGGGCUGCAGAGGAAGAUUGGGAGCAGGAAAUGAUGGUCUUGAUGAGGGGAUUGGAAGAGUAGGAGGAAAAGCAAGGAUUUGGAGAGGAAUGGGAAGUUCUAGUGUUGAAGUCGAGAAGAGAGGGAGAGAGAGGUCGAGUUUUGCAAGUGAUCUGAGAGAGACAGAAAUUGGGUGGCGCGGCGAUAGACGCCAUCGUAGAAGAAGAAGAAGAAGAAGAAGAAGAUG
rnacentral:misc_RNA from 1 species